UUUCCGUAGGUGAACCUGCGGAAGGAUCAUUAGUGAAUUGAAUAUGUUAGCGGACCUCUUCGGAGUCCCUAGCAUCAAAUCAUAUCCAUAACACCUGUGAACUGUAAGGCUGUCUUGAAAACGAAAGUGAUUAGAGCGCCUGCCCAUUUUAUACGAACAUUAAAGUAACAAACGUAGUCUUAUUAUAAUCUAAUAAACUUUCAACAACGGAUCUCUUGGCUCUC
rnacentral:misc_RNA from 1 species